AGAGUUUGAUCAUGGCUCAGGAUGAACGUUGGCGGCGUGCCUAAUACAUGCAAGUCGAACGGUAGUUGAGCAUUCGUGCUUGAUGAGAGUGGCGAACGGGUGAGUAACACGUAACUGAUCUGCCCUUUAGACUGGGAUAACCUUUGGAAACAGAGGCUAAUACCGGAUGAGUUCGCGGUAGUUAGAGAGCCGUGAGGAAAGGCUAAUGCGCUAAGGGAUGAGGUUGCGGGCCAUCAGCUAGUUGGUGAGGUAAAGGCUCACCAAGGCGAUGACGGUUAGGGGAUCUGAGAGGGUGGCCCCCCACACUGGGACUGAGACACGGCCCAGACUCCUACGGGAGGCAGCAGUAAGGGAUAUUGCACAAUGGACGGAAGUCUGAUGCAGCGACGCCGCGUGGGUGAAGAAGGUUUUCGGAUCGUAAAGCCCUUUUCUAUGUGACGAGAGAGGACGGUAGCAUAGGAAUAAGUGUCGGCUAACUACGUGCCAGCAGCCGCGGUAAAACGUAGGACGCGAACGUUAUCCGGAGUUACUGGGCGUAAAGCGCGCGUAGGCGGUUGGUUAAGUUACCUAUGAAAGAUACAGGCUAAACUUGUAUUGGUUAGGUGAAACUGGCUAA
rnacentral:rRNA from 1 species